GACGAACGCUGGCGGCGUGCUUAACACAUGCAAGUCGAGCGGUAAGGCUCCUUCGGGAGUACACGAGCGGCGAACGGGUGAGUAACACGUGAGUAACCUGCCCUUCUCAUCGGAAUAAGCGUUGGAAACGACGUCUAAUGCCGAAUACGACUUCGGAAGGCAUCUUCUGAAGUGGAAAGCUCCGGCGGAGAAGGAUGGACUCGCGGCCUAUCAGCUUGUUGGUGAGGUAACGGCUCACCAAGGCGACGACGGGUAGCCGGCCUGAGAGGGUGACCGGCCACACUGGGACUGAGACACGGCCCAGACUCCUACGGGAGGCAGCAGUGGGGAAUAUUGGACAAUGGGCGCAAGCCUGAUCCAGCAACGCCGCGUGAGGGAUGACGGCCUUCGGGUUGCAAACCUCUUUCAGCAGGGACGAAGCGCAAGUGACGGUACCUGCAGAAGAAGGACCGGCCAACUACGUGCCAGCCGCCGCCGUAA
rnacentral:rRNA from 1 species